UUUUUGGAGAGUUUGAUCCUGGCUCAGGACGAACGCUGGCGGCGUGCUUAACACAUGCAAGUCGAACGGGGUCCUAGGGUAGCUUGCUACCCGACCGACCUAGUGGCGCACGGGUGAGUAACACGUGGGCAAUCUGCCCGGAAGACUGGGAUAACAGCCCGAAAGGGCUGCUAAUACCGGAUACCUUCACGGAAUCGCAUGAUUCUGUGAAGAAAUGUAUUUCGCUUCCGGAUGAGCCCGCGUCCCAUUAGCUAGUUGGGUGAGGUAACGGCUCACCAAGGCAACGAUGGGUAGCUGGUCUGAGAGGACGAUCAGCCACACUGGAACUGAGACACGGUCCAGACUCCUACGGGAGGCAGCAGGGGGGAUUCUUGGCGCAUGGGCGAAAGCCUGACGCACCACGCCGUGUGAACGAUGAAGGCCUUAGGGUCGUAAGUUCUGUGCAGGGGGGAAGAGGUUCUGACGGUACCCCUGGAGGAAGCUCCCGCUGACUAGCGUGCCAGCAGCCGCGGGAAUAACAUAGGGG
rnacentral:ncRNA from 1 species